rnacentral:rRNA from 1 species
AUUGAACGCUGGCGGCAGGCCUAACACAUGCAAGUCGAGCGAGCGGCGGACGGGUGAGUAAUGUCUGGGAAACUGCCUGAUGGAGGGGGAUAACUACUGGAAACGGUAGCUAAUACCGCAUACCAUCAGAUGUGCCCAGAUGGGAUUAGCUGGUAGGUGGGGUAACGGCUCACCUAGGCGACGAUCCCUAGCUGGUCUGAGAGGAUGCCCAGCCACCCUGGAGCUGAGAAACGGUCCAGACUCCUACGGGAGGCAGCAGUGGGGAAUAUUGAACAAUGGGCGCAAGCAUGAUGCAGCCAUGUCGCGUGUGUGAAGACGGCCUUCGGGUUGUAAAGCACUUUCAGCGGGGAGGCGUUACACGCAGAAGAAGCACCGGCUAACUCCGCGCCAGCAGCCGCGGUAAUUC